AACAAAAAUGGAGUCAAUUAUCAGCAUCAAGUAUCAUCCUCACCCUAGUUGACAUUUACCGGCCAUUCUCUUACAGAAAGAAAUCCCAACUGUUUGAGAAUUAGAAUUCUUGUCGUUAAGGACACUGUCCUGGGGAUGACUAUGAAAGCAUGCCAUGUACAGUGCCAGGACCAAAGCCUGAAUAUCCAUGUCCUGUGCUGAUUACCUCUGGGCAAAGUGGUUCUUUUGCUUAUCAAAGUUAACCUUCUGGAAGAGCGCCAAAGAUAGAGGAUAUUUGCUGGAGAGUACUGAACCUGAUCAGUAUAUGGUGAGUGGAAA